GCCAGACUCCUACGGGAGGCAGCAGUGGGGAAUAUUGCACAAUGGGGGAAACCCUGAUGCAGCGACGCCGCGUGAGUGAAGAAGUAAUUCGUUAUGUAAAGCUCUAUCAGCAGGGAAGAAAAUGACGGUACCUGAGUAAGAAGCCCCGGCUAACUACGUGCCAGCAGCCGCGGUAAUACGUAGGGGGCAAGCGUUAUCCGGAAUUAUUGGGUGUAAAGGGUGCGUAGACGGGAAAACAAGUUAGUUGUGAAAUCCCUCGGCUUAACUGAGGAACUGCAACUAAAACUAUUUUUCUUGAGUGCAGGAGAGGUAAGUGGAAUUCCUAGUGUAGCGGUGAAAUGCGUAGAUAUUAGGAGGAACACCAGUGGCGAAGGCGACUUACUGGACUGUAACUGACGUUGAGGCACGAAAGUGUGGGGAGCAAACAGGAUUAGAUACCCUCGUAGAC
rnacentral:rRNA from 1 species